UGACUGUUGGGCUAGCCGGCCCGCUCUCACGAACCAUCACCCUCCCGGUCCACCGAGGCCCGGCAACCGCUACGCAGCGGAGACUCGAUAAACAGGGAAGCCCUAGCGCGUGAGCGGGUCAGUCCAUCGCGUACCCGGCGACGCUCGCGGGAGGCUGUCUGGAGGCUGCGAAAUCUCCCUGAGGCGCGCGGUGCCGAGGCCGCGGCGACCGGUGACGGCGAGGUCAGUGCCCCCGCCGUCCCUGCUCCUCCCUCUACCGCCCCGUUGCCUCCUGCACGUCAACUGCCCGCAGGUCUGACCUCCAUCUUACCCCGUCCUUCUCCAUCGCCGGGCGGCAGCAUCCGACAGUCUUAGCCCCCGCCGGACCGAGCCUGCCGUGCCGUGCCGUGCCGCGUCCCCGUCCCCGUCCCCGUGGGAAGGCGGACUGUUUCCUCCGCAAUCCUGUCGCGCGACGGCUCGCCCACUGAAUUACCCUCAGGGGCCGCCGUUCUCCAACCGCUCUGUUCUGCACCCGAUCGCAUCCGUGCCCCGGCCGCACUCCCCGCUGACUUCUCCGCUUUCAUGGCCCCUGACAAGCAGGCCUCGCAUCUCCAUAUCCCGCAAAGAAUGUUUUUCUCAUCUUCUGUGCCCAAUUCUACCGCUCGUGCUCUUCUGUCUUUUUUCCCUCCUGGCCGGUGCCCAUUCUGCGGACGUGCAAAGGCUAUUAUGAUACUUGCGAUUACCAAUUGCGAAUCUAGGGUUUCGUGUACAAACGGUGUGUAUUUUGUUGCUUUUGAGCUAGUUUUCUUCAUUGCGGAUUUAUUACAGUUGCAAGGCUUGCUGUGACUCGGCAGUAUAUUAGGUGAUUUAAAUAUACUUUGCACGAAAGGAGGUGGUGUAGGAAGCUUUGGAUCUGAGUGGUGGGAUGGAGAGGUAGGGGAAUACUUUGGAUCCGCCUUACGCUGGUUAGCUAGUUUAUAUUAGUGAAAUGUGGCAAUAGUGAUAUUGGCUUUCUUGCCAUCUCAAAGCGUGUUUUCCCUAUUAAUACCCUCUGAUGCCUCAUCUUAUGUACAGUAACUCCUGAAUCUGGUAUGAUACCGCGAGAUAUGAAAUAAUAUGCAUCGAGAGAACCAAAUAAUAGCGAUGAACAAUCAUGACAAGGGAAACUGCAAUACCUAAUUGCCUAUAGCUGCAGAGCUGGAUCGUGUUUCAGGUGAAGUAUCUGAGAUACCCAUCCACAUGUAUCCAAUCAGCUGUUAAUAUGGUGCAUUAGUUCAGUUUGAUGCUAAUACCACAUGAAAGAUGUGUGUCUUGUGGUUCUUCCCUUUGGUCCUGCAUUCCCUUGCUUCGUGUCAUGCCUCCUUUGACCAGAUAGGUAUUACGUACACUCUACUGUAAACAUAAGAGAAACGACAAGUCCAUCCAAAUCAACUACUUAGAAGAUGCACGUGAACAAUUGCCUCCAACAUUUUGUUUAUGUUGUUAAUGACCAUAUUUGAAGGACAGGCCUGGUGCAGUGGUGAAGUACUCCACACUUGUGGCAAGAGGUCCUGGGUUUGAGGCAGCCUCUGCAUUGCACUGUGCAGGGGUAAGGCUUGCCCCGUAUAAUCCUUCCCCGGACCCCAACUGGCCCCGGCACAUUUCUAUCGACUGAAAAAGCUUACUGGGUCAUCUUCCCCUACAGAAAGUGGUUCUACAAGGCUUACCCUAAAUCUUCCAGGAUCGACCUAUCAGUUUCCGCAGAGAAGGUCGGUCUGUGGUCAUCAUCUAUAUGGGCAAAACAUCUGCUUCUGGUGUUGUUCAGGAGAAUGAAAAAGUUGGGAAUGGUUCACCCUCUUCUCCUACCAAGGGGAAAAGGGGAAGGAAAGGGUCCCAGAUUAUAUCAAAUAAAAAGUAUCCCCUGAGAUCUGCACAUAGUAGUGCCAGGGUGCUUCGGUCUACUUCAAAAGACAAGAGUAAGACGCCUAAUGAGCCAGUAAGUCCAUUGAGAUCCGCUCAUAGUAGUCCCAGGGUGCUUCGAUCUACCCCUAAAAACAAGAGCAAGACACCUAAAAAGCAAGUAAAUUCAUUGAGGUCCGCACAUAGUAGUGCCAGGGUGCUUAGCUCUACCUUGAAGAAAAAGGUACCUAAUGAGCCGGUAAACAACAGUACUGCUGCUCAACCAGCUGCCAGGAAAAGGAAAAGAGGCAGGCCCUCAAAUGCAGCGAGUCCCAAGAAUGAGUGCAUCAAAAUUCGCCAACGAGUUAGAUACAUUUUGAAUCGAAUGAACUACGAACAAAGUUUCAUUCAAGCCUAUGCUGGUGAAGGUUGGAAAGGUCAAAGUUUGGAAAAAAUAAGACCUGAGAAAGAGCUUGAGCGAGCCAAGGCAGAAAUCUUGCGAUGCAAGUUAAGAAUUCGGGAAGCUUUUCGUAAUAUGGAUUCUCUUCUAUUGGAGGGGAAGCUUGACGAAUCUUUGUUUGAUUCUGAGGGAGAAAUAUCUAGUGAAGAUAUUUUCUGUGCCAUUUGUGCUUCAAAGCAUGUUACGCUAAAAAAUGAUAUCAUUCUUUGCGAUGGAGUGUGUGAUAGAGGAUUCCACCAGAAAUGUUUGAAUCCUCCUUUGCUGGCAGAAGAUAUUCCUCAGGGGGAUGAAGGAUGGCUUUGCCCUGCGUGCGAUUGCAAGCUAGAUUGUAUAGAUUUACUAAAUGAACUCCAAGGGAGCACACUUGCUAUUCAUGACUCAUGGGAGAAAGUUUUCCCUGAGUCAACUUCGAAUGGCUUAAACCAAAUUGGUGCAUCUGAUCUUCCAUCCGAUGAUUCAGAGGAGGAUUAUGACCCUACUUUAGCUGAAGGGGACACAGUAGAUGAAGACAAAUCAUCUGCAGAGGAUGGGGAUGAAGGAUCAGAUUCUGAUGACCUGGAUUUUAUAACAUCAUCCGAUGAGUCUGAACCUUCAAAGAAGAAAAAGUCUGAAUCAAAGAACAAAAAUACCGUCAAUGACCUUGCGUUGCCUUCGGAUGACUCAGAGGAUGAUGACUUUGAUCCAGAAGGUCCAAAUUCCAGUGAAGACCAGAAGACCAAAACAAACUCAGACGAGUCGGACUUCACAUCUGAUUCUGAUGAUUUCUGUGCCGAGAUUUCUAAAUCUUCUGGCAAGGACAAAGUUUCGGCACCUUCAUUCUCAGACCAAACUAAUGGAGUGGACAUUAUGGAGGCAGAGCUAGAGCAAGACUCUGUGCUACCAGCUUCAAACAGGAGACAAGUUGGAACUUUGGAUUACAAAAAGCUUUAUGAUGAGGCUUAUGGAAAAGAAACCACUGAUUCAAGCGAUGAAAAAGAGUGGUCUGGACAUAGCCCAAAUGGAAAUCCAGAAGACAGUGAUACAGAUUCAUUUGCUGGACCACUUAAGCCGGCAAAAACCAGAAGAGCACGAGGUGGGCGCCAGAACAAUGAGCGUACUCCACAGAGUGAACGGCACAGUGGUUCAGUAAGUGAACAGCAUCCUGAAGUGCUUUCCAACGGCACCAGUAGCACGGCCAGGAAAAAAGGUUAUGGUCCUAUUGUUAAUCAGAAGCUUAAGGCAUAUUUCGAAAAAGAACCUUACCCUAGUCGCCCAGCAAAAGAAAGUCUGGGACAAGAGCUUGGCCUGACAUUCCAUCAGAUCACUAGAUGGUUUUCUAGUACUCGUUAUUACUCAAGAGUUACUGCUACCAAGAAAGGGAAGCGUUCAGAAAACUAUACUGCUGAGAACAACGAUGGCAUUGCUGCGGAUAGCAUACAACAGAGAGAACCCAAUGGCAGUGUAUUGGGCAAACCAAAUGUAGAUAGAAACGGUAUUAUUUCGGAGGAAAGGAUGGCGCAAAAAAAUCUUGAUGAAGGUGAGAAAGAAGAUACUCCAUUCAGACAACGUAUCAGCUGUGAGCAGACACUGGAUGGGACUCCUGCUAACAAACACAACACUGCCAACUCAAGAGAAGUUGACCCACCAAUUGGUGCGCCUGGAGGAAACCAGCAAAGUGACACCUCGAGGAAUGCAGAAGAUACCCCACUCGGACAAGAUAUUGGCUGUGAGCAGACCGUGGCUGCUAUCAACCAAAACUGCACUAUCGGCUCGAGCAAUGUCGGGUCACCGAAAGGUGUGCCUGGAGGAAACAAGCGCCUUAAUAACUCUCCGAGUGUUGGAAGCCCAAGACGUGGGUCUGCCGAGAAGAACAUUCCUGGGCUAGAACAUGUUGAUGAGGCAAGGAGGAAGGCUAUACUGCGGGAGCUGAGGAAGAUGAAGGCCGCAGGCAAGUGAAGCUCCCAGAGAGGUAUCGUUUGAACCAUUUCCGAACCUUCAGUGCAAGUCAAGUUUUAGAUGCUACUCGACAAGUUUGAACUCUGGAUUGCUUCGCAGCCAGAGAAGAUGACUGACAGCCGAAUUGUUGUGCCUCAUCUGUUUCAAGUUCAUCAGUUGACAAGCCUGCUUAUCGUAGCCCUGUUUCUCUAUAGAGCCUCGAAUUUCUGAUUGGGUACACCUGGAAUCUGAAGUACUUCAUCCACAACAAGGGUUAAGCUGGGUGUAACAGUAUUAGCGUAGCCUGUAGACUCUAGUGGACAUUAGAACUGUUGUUUGCCAUGUUCUUGUAUCAUCUUGAUGGGUAGCCAUGUUGAGAGAAACUGAUGCGAACCGUUGUUUGGGUUGUAUCUUGUAAACAUGCUGUGAAUUGAGAGUAGUUCCUUUCAUUUUUUUUCCUGAGAGUUUAAUGAAACGAGAUCAAUGACAUCAUAUCUGGGAUCUGUGACAUGC
rnacentral:rRNA from 1 species